rnacentral:lncRNA from 1 species
CAGAACCCCGCUCUAACUUCCCGGGCUAGGCCGCGACCCGGGGGCGAGGGGAGGCCGCUGCCACUCCCCUCGCCCUCUCCCCCACCUCCCUGGCUCCAAGCCACCCGGGAAUCAAGAAACGGGUCUAGUUACCAGAGAACAGAAACUUUACCGAACCGAUGACACUAUCUCCGACUCCCGCCUGCUGCCACGUCUUUCUUCUUUCUUAGCCGCGGCCGCCUGCCGUCCUCACAGCAGCAGAGCCAGCAGAAACCCGAGACUGCCAGCGUCAAA